rnacentral:rRNA from 1 species
UUAAGCGACUAAGCGUACACGGUGGAUGCCCUGGCAGUCAGAGGCGAUGAAGGACGUGCUAAUCUGCGAUAAGCGUCGGUAAGGUGAUAUGAACCGUUAUAACCGGCGAUUUCCGAAUGGGGAAACCCAGUGUGAUUCGUCACACUAUCAUUACGUGAAUACAUAGCGUAAUGAAGCGAACCGGGGGAACUGAAACAUCUAAGUACCCCGAGGAAAAGAAAUCAACCGAGAUUCCCCCAGUAGCGGCGAGCGAACGGGGAGCAGCCCAGAGUCUGAAUCAGCUUGUGUGUUAGUGGAACGGUCUGGAAAGUCCGACGGUACAGGGUGAUAGUCCCGUACACCAAAAUGCACAGGUUGUGAACUCGAAGAGUAGGGCGGGACACGUGGUAUCCUGUCUGAAUAUGGGGGGACCAUCCUCCAAGGCUAAAUACUCCUGACUGACCGAUAGUGAACCAGUACCGUGAGGGAAAGGCGAAAAGAACCCCGGCGAGGGGAGUGAAAAAGAACCUGAAACCGUGUACGUACAAGCAGUGGGAGCCUCUUUAUGGGGUGACUGCGUACCUUUUGUAUAAUGGGUCAGCGACUUAUAUUCUGUAGCAAGGUUAACCGUAUAGGGGAGCCGAAGGGAAACCGAGUCUUAACUGGGCGUUAAGUUGCAGGGUAUAGACCCGAAACCCGGUGAUCUAGCCAUGGGCAGGUUGAAGGUUGGGUAACACUAACUGGAGGACCGAACCGACUAAUGUUGAAAAAUUAGCGGAUGACUUGUGGCUGGGGGUGAAAGGCCAAUCAAACCGGGAGAUAGCUGGUUCUCCCCGAAAGCUAUUUAGGUAGCGCCUCGUGAACUCAUCUUCGGGGGUAGAGCACUGUUUCGGCUAGGGGGUCAUCCCGACUUACCAACCCGAUGCAAACUGCGAAUACCGAAGAAUGUUAUCACGGGAGACACACGGCGGGUGCUAACGUCCGUCGUGAAGAGGGAAACAACCCAGACCGCCAGCUAAGGUCCCAAAGUCAUGGUUAAGUGGGAAACGAUGUGGGAAGGCACAGACAGCCAGGAUGUUGGCUUAGAAGCAGCCAUCAUUUAAAGAAAGCGUAAUAGCUCACUGGUCGAGUCGGCCUGCGCGGAAGAUGUAACGGGGCUAAACCAUGCACCGAAGCUGCGGCAGCGACACUAUGUGUUGUUGGGUAGGGGAGCGUUCUGUAAGCCGUUGAAGGUGUACUGUGAGGUAUGCUGGAGGUAUCAGAAGUGCGAAUGCUGACAUAAGUAACGAUAAUGCGGGUGAAAAACCCGCACGCCGGAAGACCAAGGGUUCCUGUCCAACGUUAAUCGGGGCAGGGUGAGUCGACCCCUAAGGCGAGGCCGAAAGGCGUAGUCGAUGGGAAACAGGUUAAUAUUCCUGUACUUGGUGUUACUGCGAAGGGGGGACGGAGAAGGCUAUGUUAGCCGGGCGACGGUUGUCCCGGUUUAAGCAUGUAGGCGGAGGUUCCAGGUAAAUCCGGUACCUUUUAACGCUGAGGUGUGAUGACGAGGCACUACGGUGCUGAAGUAACAAAUGCCCUGCUUCCAGGAAAAGCCUCUAAGCAUCAGGUAACACGAAAUCGUACCCCAAACCGACACAGGUGGUCAGGUAGAGAAUACCAAGGCGCUUGAGAGAACUCGGGUGAAGGAACUAGGCAAAAUGGUGCCGUAACUUCGGGAGAAGGCACGCUGAUAUGUAGGUGAAGUGAUUUACUCAUGGAGCUGAAAUCAGUCGAAGAUACCAGCUGGCUGCAACUGUUUAUUAAAAACACAGCACUGUGCAAACACGAAAGUGGACGUAUACGGUGUGACGCCUGCCCGGUGCCGGAAGGUUAAUUGAUGGGGUUAUCCGUAAGGAGAAGCUCUUGAUCGAAGCCCCGGUAAACGGCGGCCGUAACUAUAACGGUCCUAAGGUAGCGAAAUUCCUUGUCGGGUAAGUUCCGACCUGCACGAAUGGCGUAAUGAUGGCCAGGCUGUCUCCACCCGAGACUCAGUGAAAUUGAACUCGCUGUGAAGAUGCAGUGUACCCGCGGCAAGACGGAAAGACCCCGUGAACCUUUACUAUAGCUUGACACUGAACACUGGUCCUUGAUGUGUAGGAUAGGUGGGAGGCUUUGAAGUGUGGACGCCAGUCUGCAUGGAGCCAUCCUUGAAAUACCACCCUUUAAUGGCUGGUGUUCUAACGUGGACCCGUAAUCCGGGUUGCGGACAGUGUCUGGUGGGUAGUUUGACUGGGGCGGUCUCCUCCUAAAGAGUAACGGAGGAGCACGAAGGUUAGCUAAUCCUGGUCGGACAUCAGGAGGUUAGUGCAAAGGCAUAAGCUAGCUUGACUGCGAGAGUGACGGCUCGAGCAGGUGCGAAAGCAGGUCUUAGUGAUCCGGUGGUUCUGAAUGGAAGGGCCAUCGCUCAACGGAUAAAAGGUACUCCGGGGAUAACAGGCUGAUACCGCCCAAGAGUUCAUAUCGACGGCGGUGUUUGGCACCUCGAUGUCGGCUCAUCACAUCCUGGGGCUGAAGUAGGUCCCAAGGGUAUGGCUGUUCGCCAUUUAAAGUGGUACGCGAGCUGGGUUUAGAACGUCGUGAGACAGUUCGGUCCCUAUCUGCCGUGGGCGCUGGAGAAUUGAGGGGGGCUGCUCCUAGUACGAGAGGACCGGAGUGGACGCAUCACUGGUGUUCGGGUUGUCAUGCCAAUGGCAUUGCCCGGUAGCUAAAUGCGGAAGAGAUAAGUGCUGAAAGCAUCUAAGCACGAAACUUGCCCCGAGAUGAGUUCUCCCUGAGACUUAAAGUCUCCUGAAGGAACGUUAAAGACGAUGACGUUGAUAGGUCGGGUGUGUAAGUGUAGCGAUACAUUGAGCUAACCGAUACUAAUGAACCGUGAGGCUUAACCU